rnacentral:rRNA from 1 species
UGGGGAAUUUUGCACAAUGGGGGAAACCCUGAUGCAGCGACGCCGCGUGAUUUAGAAGGCCUUCGGGUUGUAAAAAUCUUUUCUAUGGGAAGAAAAUGACAGUACCAUAGGAAUAAGGACCGGCUAAUUACGUGCCAGCAGCCGCGGUAAUACGUAAGGUCCGAGCGUUGUCCAGAAUCAUUGGGCGUAAAGGGUACGUAGGCGGGUAAGCAAGUUAGAAGUGAAAUCCUAUAGCUCAACUAUAGUAAGCUUUUAAAACUGCUUAUCUUGAGGUAUGGAAGGGAAAGUGGAAUUCCUAGUGUAGCGGUGAAAUGCGCAGAUAUUAGGAGGAAUACCGGUGGCGAAGGCGACUUUCUGGCCAUAACCUGACGCUGAGGUACGAAAGCGUGGGUAGCAAACAGG